AGCUGCUGGAAUUGAACCUGAGUCUGCUGGAAGAGCAGCCAGUGCUCUCAGCCGCUCAGUCAACUUCUCCAGCCCCAAAAAGGUUACCGUUUUAAAAUGCACAGAACUAUCAGCUACCUCUCCAGCACCAAGUCUGCCCGGGUGCCACUAUGCCGCCAUCCGUGUUACCUCUGAACUGUAAGUCAGCCCCAAUUAAAUGUUUCCUAUGAGGGUCA